AGGCCCACGUUGCGAAAUUUUACGCGGGCUCACCGCUUCGCGCUUCUCGCCUUUCUGCCGACGCGAAGAGCAACGAGGACGCAGGGGGAGAGACAAAGGCGAAGACCGACGCACGUUAGUGAGAAGCGCGUAUACAUGGGUACCAAAUGCUCCGGGGGUCUCGUUCCUCAACGACAAACGACGUGCGUCCGCUGCGAUGUCGGUCUAAUUCGUCCGAAGACUAUCGAGUUUAAGUAACAGACUCGCGAAAGAGAAGUGAACUCCACGACCUGCUUUUCGUAUCAAAAACCGAGACAACGACAACUACCACGACGACGACGACGAGGAGGCAGAGCGCAACGCCAACGUCGACGACUACCACCACGUCUUCCUCGCGCGCAGAGCCGAGCCGAGGGGGACCAGCUACGAUGACGCUGGACUCGUGACUUCCAACUAUACCGAUCCGCACGCGGCAGCGACUUAAAGGAAUUCGACUCCGAUGUACAGAUUACUUGGAUGUUGAUUUUGGCUGAAGCUGAAGUGCCGCUCGUUUAAAGGCUGACGAGAAUAUCCUGAUUAUCGAGCUAUUUUUGGAGUUCAGACGUCGCAUCUCGUCAGCUGCUUCGAGAAGCCAGAAAUCUCAGUCAGUUUCCUCGUCUCUCCCUUUACCUCAUCCCUCUCUCUCUCUCUCUUCACUUCUUCUUUCUUUCUCUCUACCUGAUUUGGAUAUCUCGCUUCCGCGCGGGGGAUCGAUAUUUCGUCCCGACGGUGGCUAUUAACGACACGCGUACUUUCAUUCGACCCCUUCCCACUCCGUUCUUCGCGCUACGAUUGCUUCCAAACGUAAGGCAACGCAAGGUGUAAACCCUCGCCGGGCUGUCUGUCGUUUCUUCCAUCAAUGUCAGUGAAAGGUAGCGCAUGGUAGUAGCUCCGUGUAUCUACCCCGUCAUUUGAUGUAAUCUUCGAUAGCGAGUGCUGCAACACGCGUCUCAGGCGAUACGGGGAUUUUCCUCCAUGACUACGCGCCAACCGGUGCUCGAUUUUUAUUGGGUCACCCACCAGCCGCCCACUCCAUUUCGCGAAUAGGUCCUGGCCUACCCUAUGACGUACCUUUUUCGUACCCUACACCCUUUCCAUCCUGCCGCAACCCGCUUCUACGCGGUCGCGUAUGCGUCUGCAAACAGUCAAUAAAGAGCACCGCCGAGGCACGUACGUAUCAGAAGCAGACGAACGGAGCCCGGACGUGAAGACUAUUUUUCUCCCGUGCAGAAGUGUGUGUACAUAACAUUGAAGAGCAAACUGUCACCGGUUGCUCUUCGAGGGAAGGGCCGAUCUCAGUAUUUUUACGGACACGACAGCGCGGAUUGUUAACGUUCAGAUAAAAUAGUGAAGAUAUAGACUAUAGCUACUGUUGUUGUUAUUGUUAUUCACGUUAUUGUUACAUCCUCCGUUAUUAUUGUACAUCCGCUGCUCGUUACCGCCGAGUGUCAUCCUCACUCUCGCUGGAAUCGAUCCUGGCGGUAGAGAGCGGCAGUGAUACAUCAGUGGAGACCCGCGAAUUCUUGGACGCAAAGGUACGCGUGUUUCUGCCAAAUCGUGUCGCAUAAUUUGGAGACGGGAAAGAGAGUGGGUACGCGUGUACACAAGAAAGGGAAUAAACAGAGCUAACGGGAGAAGCGAAGGAGAGGCGACACGUGGGAUCGCCGCGGGUGGUCCCCAGCAAGCAGACACAAAGAGUGCGCUAAAGAUCUCAAUUGAGUACACUACCCAGUGGGGUAGGUGAUCGGUUCUCUGUGCCCAUCGAAACUCUCGGGAGGAUGGUAGUCAAGAGCGAGACCACGAGAAACGGGCAUGAGCUGGCUCCCUUAAACGACCACCGCCAACCCGCCCAGAACGUGACGAUCGUGGUGAACCAGAAUGUCGUCAACACCCAGGAGACGAAGGAAGAAAAUAGGGCGGCAUGGAGCGGGAAAAUGCAAUUCUUCCUCAGUAUUAUCGGAUACAGCGUGGGUCUGGGCAACAUCUGGAGGUUUCCUUACCUGUGCCAACAGAACGGAGGUGGUGCCUUCCUCAUCCCUUUUUUCGUGAUGCUCAUCUUAGAGGGUGUACCCCUCUUCCUGAUCGAGCUGGGCCUCGGACAACGUAUGCGACAGGGUGCCCUGGGUGUUUGGAAUACGAUACACCCUUGGUUAGGCGGCAUAGGGAUCGCGUCGUGUAUAGUUACGUUUUUCGUUGCACUUUACUACAACGUGAUUAUUACCUGGUGCUUCUUCUACCUUUUCAAGUCGCUCGAGGCUGUCACGAUCAAAUUCGGUGACUCACUGCCGUGGGCAACAUGCCCGGUAAAUGAAAACGGGAAACCGUUCGAGGAAUGUGAAAGAAGUUCGGAGACUGCGUAUUUUUGGUACAGGACCACCUUGGACGCGGCACCAUCGAUCGAGGACGGUGAAGGCUUGAAGUGGUGGAUCAUACUUUGCCUCUUGCUUAGCUGGCUCGUCGUAUUCUUCAUUGUCAUGAAGGGGAUACAGUCGUCAGGCAAGGUGGUAUACUUCACGUCCAUGUUCCCGUAUCUCGUCCUGACUAUUUUCUUCAUCCGUGGGAUAACGUUGAAGGGUGCGAGCGCUGGAUUGGCGCACAUGUACACACCAAAGGUCGAGAAACUGUUGGACCCUAUGGUCUGGCUUGACGCGGCGACUCAGGUGUUCUAUAGCUUCGGACUGGCGUUCGGUUCUCUGAUCGCAUUUGGCAGCUACAACACUCCCAACAACAACUGCGUGAGGGACGUGAUCCUGGUGAGCGUGUGCAACGCGUUUACUGCCAUUUACGCGAGCGUUGUCAUUUUCGCCAUUUUGGGGUUCAAGGCUAUGUCAAACGUGGACAAGUGCGUCGCCAGCGCGAGAGAAAUCCUGGUUGACAAUGACUUCCUGGACAAUUCGACCACGUUUAACUUCGAGGAAUACAAACAGCUUAUGCCCACUUUCAACUUCUCGGGGACGAACCUCACGAUGAAAUCGUGCAGCCUCAGCGAGGAACUGAACGACGCCGCCGAAGGUACCGGACUGGCCUUUAUCGUGUUUACCCAGGCGAUCGUAGAAUUACCGGGUGCACCAUUUUGGUCUUGCAUUUUCUUCAUGAUGCUGCUAGCUCUUGGUCUGGGUUCGCAAAUCGGCAUACUCGAGGGCAUGCUAUGCGUAAUCUUCGACAUAGACCUAUUCAAGAGAAUAAAAAAACAAUAUAUGACGGGUGUCGUCUGUUUCAUGUGCUUUUGCGUGGGAUUCAUCUUCUGUACCGGUGCUGGGGAGUACUGGUUGAAGAUGUUUGACAGCUUCGCCGGCACCAUUGGUCUCGUAAUGGUCGCCCUCAUGGAAAUGAUCUCCGUAGUCUUCGUAUAUGGCCACGAGAAGUUCACGAAAGACAUCGAGGAGAUGACUGGAUACAGGCCAGGCGUUUAUUGGCAAGUCACGUGGCGGUUUCUUGCUCCCAUAAUAAUGGUUUGCAUCCUCGUGUCCAGCAUCGCUUCCAUGUUCAUCAAGAAACCGCAUUACUCAGCGUGGAAUGCAGAAUUGGGUAAAGCAGUGGAGACGAGUUAUCCCGGCUGGGUGCUCGCGAUCGCCGCCGCCAUCAUUUUCGCGGGCAUCGCUCCGAUUCCAAUCGUUUUCCUCUUACGGCGAUUCCAAUGUGUCAAACUCGACGUGGACAUACAUCAGGGCAGUAUCCGUCGUAUCGACACCACGGUCUCUACUAAGGAGAUGAUGGGCGACGUCGAUUUGUAGGUAAGCAUCCGUUCUGUCUGUGGUAACGUCGAUUACUCGAUAUCCCCGUAGCUACAUUACACCUUGACGAAUAUCACGAGCGACUCGAGGACUUCCCAGAGGAGGAUGAGGACAUUAAUAGCGACGAUGAUAACAAUUCCGCACCGCCAUUGGGUAAACUCGCGAACAAAGCAAUGCAGGGUAGGGC